GAGGCUGCAUGAAGUGGCUGAGGGCGAAGAGACGGCAGAGCACGGUGGAGCCGGGGGUGUAGAUGGGUUUGUCGGUCUGCAGGAAGAUGUGGCCGCUCUGCAGUGACACCAACAGCACCUUCUCCAGGGUCACCUGUCCCACCCGCGCCACCACCGAGACAAAGUGCUUCCCCACCACCGGCGGCAGCAGCUUCACCGGCACCUUGA
rnacentral:misc_RNA from 1 species